rnacentral:rRNA from 1 species
AUUGAACGCUGGCGGCAUGCCUUACACAUGCAAGUCGAACGGUAACGGGCCUUCGGGUGCCGACGAGUGGCGAACGGGUGAGUAAUGUAUCGGAACGUACCUUUCAGUGGGGGAUAACGUAGCGAAAGUUACGCUAAUACCGCAUAUUCUGUGAGCAGGAAAGCAGGGGAUCGCAAGACCUUGCGCUGAUUGAGCGGCCGAUAUCAGAUUAGCUAGUUGGUGAGGUAAAGGCUCACCAAGGCGACGAUCUGUAGCGGGUCUGAGAGGAUGAUCCGCCACACUGGAACUGAGACACGGUCCAGACUCCUACGGGAGGCAGCAGUGGGGAAUUUUGGACAAUGGGGGGCAACCCUGAUCCAGCCAUGCCGCGUGAGUGAAGAAGGCCUCGGGUUGUAAAGGCUCUUUCGGCCGGGAAGGAAAUCGUAUGGGUUAAGUACCCUGUGCGGAUGACGGUACCGGCAUAAGAAGCACCGGCUAACUACGUGCCAGCAGCCGCGGUAAU